AUUGAACGCUGGCGGCAGGCCUAACACAUGCAAGUCGAACGAGCGGCGGACGGGUGAGUAAUGUCUGGGGAACUGCCUGAUGGAGGGGGAUAACUACUGGAAACGGUAGCUAAUACCGCAUACCAUCAGAUGUGCCCAUAUGGGAUUAGCUUGUUGGUGGGGUAACGGCUUACCUAGGCGACGAUCCCUAGCUGGUCUGAGAGGAUGACCAGCCACACUGGUACUGAGACACGGCCCAGACUCCUACGGGAGGCAGCAGUGGGGAAUAUUGCACAAUGGGCGCAAGCCUGAUACAGCCAUGCCGCGUGUAUGAAGAAGGCCUUCGGGUUGUAAAGUACUUUCAGCCGGGAGGUGUUACCGGCAGAAGAAGCACCGGCUAACUCCGUGCCAGCCGCCGCGGUAAUUC
rnacentral:rRNA from 1 species